UGCAGUAUUCUCAUAAUUAGGUAGUAAGUGUUAAUAAUGUAUAAGCUCAUAUUGAAUGUACGUAUGUUCGUUAGAGACGGUCACACUGGACAAGCGCUCUUCCGUUUUCAAAAGUGGCAUCAAUAAAGACACGCUUCAAUACACGUCUUACAAAAUCAUUAAUAAUCUGCAUAUCAACGAUUAUUACAUGGUGUCAGAAGUGAAAAUAUCAAUUGCAAACUAAAAAGGAACAAAAUGGAGCGAGUUCUACAAGUUCUACAAUAUGAGUGGCCAAAAUGGAAGAGGUCGUUUAUCAUGUACAUGAUGACGUCAGGCAAAGACUCAGAGCCAGAAGCCAAAAAGAUUGCCAUAUUCUUAUGGUUGGCUGGAUCAAAGGUCACGGAAAUAUACAGUACAACAAGAUAACAACAACUACAACAGCAGCAAUAGACGAGUGGAUAACAACAACAUCAGCAACAAACGAGUGGAUAACAACAACUACAAAAACAAGCAGAUAGAUGUGGAUCGCAAGCAAACAGCCGGAGCAGUUAUUAAUUGGAUAGAAUCAGAAUAAGCGAGUGCGAGCUAAACAGAGUAAGAUGGACGAAAACAUAUAAAAUAAAUGGAAAAAAUGUUACGUUUAAAGUGGACACAGGCGCUGAUGUUAACUGCAUCCCAAGUGAUUUAGUUAAAGAAUUAAAACUUGAAGUUAAAAAAGAAAACAUUCUAAUUUUUGACUAUAAUAAUGUUAAAGUUAAUAAUUUUGGAAAAGUUAAAGCAAACUGUUAUGAUCUGAAUUCAGAAACAGCAAAAUGUAUUGAAUUUUUAGUUGUUGAUGCGAAAUGUGAACCACUAUUAGGUCUUAAGUCCUCUGUAGAAUUAAAACUCAUUAAACAUUUAAAUAUUGA